UCUUACAGUGACCAAACUCAGCCUUGAUGAGUUUAAAUAAAUUGCCCUCUGUCAUGCAAAUGCCAAGUGGUAGCACAGACAAUUGAAGCCUGGUUUAGAACACAGGAAGUUAUCCUGCCCUCUCCUUUCAUUUCCUACCAAUGCCUUUGUUUCUCUGCCUUCCGCUUCCUCUUUGUGUUUCCCAUGUUAGUAGGAGAGUCAUACUUUUGCUCAACCAGAGCCCUUUUAGAGUCCUACUUUCUGGAAUAAUAUUGUAGUUGAACUUUUCUCAGUAUGUCCUGAAGUUUUGUUUUUCUCGACUAUUUCCUGGCUUCCACCAAUCUCUCAAUGAUGUCUACGGCAUUCGCCACCUGUGCCCUGGAAGAGUGGAAAUACAGCCACUUUAGCCAUCUUGAGUUGACUGGGAAGGAAAAGUCACCCCCAUAAGGAGCUCUAAAUCUUCCUGGGACCCUUGACUUUCUUCCCUUCUGUGAGCAUUAGUCACUAGAUGGCGAUCUAAGCACACAGGCAUGAGAGAAUCUACCAUUCCUCCAACUUCACACUUCCACCAAUGUCCGCCCACCCUGUCUAGCACAUAUGGUACACAGACACUGGCCAGGUGGGGCUUCUCUGGCUUAUUCAGAAUUUUCCAUCUCAAUGCCCAAGUCCUUACCUGGGAUUCAGAAGAACCUCCGGGAGAAGUCUGGGGAGCACAUGCCUUAAAUAGCAAUUAGAGAACACAUUUGCAUACACACCUCUCCCUUCUCUGAUUCUAGCUGGUGACUGAAGAAGUCAGCAUUAAAACAUCCCCAUUUACAUCUUUCCAUUCUUCUUCAAUCUAAGAAAGAAACAAACAGUUUGUGCAGGGCAGGUGAGUGGGCAGAGAUGGAAGGGAAUCUGAGAGGGAGAGACUGAUGCUGAGUCAGAAAAAGGGAAGAAGAAUAAUAUUGAAAACUGAAUUUUAGAAAUGCAGACCUGGGGAUUCACUGGCAGGAAAUUACCUGACUUUGUUGGUGUAGUAAUUUGGGGGAAGGAAAGGAAAAUAAUUUUCCAACCUGAAUUGCUUUAGAGAAACUAGGGUUAGGGUAGCUAUUUGAUGAGUAUUAUUGGAGUGAAUGUGAGGAGGCAUCCAGAGAGGGGUACACUAACUGGCCAGUCCACACAGAUCUAAACUUCAGGAAUCUGGGACCAAGACUGAAGGAGCAAACACACUUCCCCAGGCACAUGGGGGACACCAGGGUUUCUGUCCCAUGCAGAGGGUUGUCUUGCACAAAGUAACCCUGAGUAGAUGUUAAUGAACUGAAUUGAAACCAUUGUUCUAUUGUCUGAAAGAAUGAUUUAAAGGAAAAAAUAAUGGGCUCUUCGAUGUGGUCUUCGAGGGAAACUAUCUCUUCUGCUCUGAGAUGAUCAGCACUCUCCUCACAUCCACCCACCAGAAAAUUUGCACGGCCAUUUGAUCACAUCUUUGUGGUGCAGACAGAGUUUUCACAUCCAGGGUGUGGUCGCCGGCGUUUGCUUUCCACUUGCAGACCUUUGUGAAAUGCUCCGUCUUGAGCUGCAUUUACAUCCUUCAGAAUGCAAAAGGACUCUGCCUCUUUCUCAUAUUCAGAGCGUAGGAUGAACUAAAGAAGUCACAGCAAGGCAGAGGGGAAGCCCUCAGUGACUGUUAACUGAGGAUCCUGCUGCAGCCCAGGGAGGUGCUGAGAAAGGGCUUCCUUCCCUCUAAUGUGUGUCCAAAGUGCCGACUUUCAGCAGGGAGGGUAGCCAGCCAGGCCAUCUCUACACCUAGAAGCUCACAGCCCACUGGAGAAACUAAAUAGGCCUUCAAAGGUAAAAAUUCAGUGCUGACUCCGACUGCAGCCAAUGUACACAGAAUCCAUUCCUGUUGGAGAGUUUUUCUCUAUGAUUCCUGGAGCAGGGUUUACAUGGAAAGAGCCCUACCCCCACCACCAGCAGCAACUGUAUAGCCUGGGGAAGACCUUGAUUGGCAGGUCUUCAUGCCACGUGUCCACAUUCAGCUCAUUCUUCAAUGUCCAGGCCUCGGAUCACCUCUUCCUCAGAAUUUUCCCAGAAGCCCAACCUAAACCCCUCUCCCUCCUGCGAGCAGGGAUUCUGCAGAGCAUCAUGCAGCUGAUCCUGUCCUUCACUUAUGGGUUCUUGUUCUCCCAGGCAGGGCUUCACUCUCUGACAGCAUUCAGUAACCUGACCUUGUUGUGCACCCUUCUUAUUCUGGGAUAUGGUUAAGGCAUUGAAAGUGUAAGUCCAUGUCAAUCAAAUAGUUAGAAAGACAGAUGGCAAAACACUAGAAGGCAACUUAAUUAUCCCUUUAAAGAAGGAAAGAACAGCAGAAAAAAAUCCACACCACGACUGAACCAGAGGUUCUCUUUAGCUGUAGAAAUUAAAUAACUGAAGAAACAGGAGACAUAGCACUAUAAAUAAUCAAGAUUAAACCUUGUAAGACCUUGCACUGAAUUAUGCAAUUACGAAAUUCACUUGCACUGACUUAUGCAAUUAUGAAACUGAGUUAAAAUAUUUUAUGAGAGUAAUAUUAAUCUUCAUUUUAUUCAGUCAUUGGAAAACCGUUGAUGGAGCAUCUUGAUGUGUUGGACAUUAUUCCAGUGUUAGGAACAGCUGCAGGCAAACUGAAUUGAGUCUCUGCUCUGGUGGGACUCACAUUCUGUUAGCAAGACAGAAAAAUAGAUAACAGGUAGUGAUUAGUACUCUAAGAAAAACAAUUACAAUUCAGGGAAAGGGAAUGAUAGCAAGUGAAAAAGCAAAGGUGGUAUUUAAGAUAAAGCAAUCAGACAUUAGCAAGUGCUAAUCUUAUCAAAGUAGCUAUACAUUGCAUAUAAAAGAGUCUUGGGCAUACCUUCAAAUUUUUUUUUAAAUUUAUUUAUUUGAAAGAGUUAACACAGAGAGAGGAGAGGCAGAGAGAGAGAGAGAGAGGUCUUCCAUCCGCUGGUUCACUCCCCAAUUGGCUGCAACAUUCGGAGCUGCGUCCAUCAGAAGCCAGGAACUUCCUCCUGGUAUCCCAUGUGGGUGCAGGGGCCCAAGAAGACUUGGGCCGUCUUCUACUGCUUUCCCAGGCCAUAACAGAGAGCUGGAUUGGAAAUGGAGCAGCCAGGUCUCAAACUGGUGCCUCAGGCCAGGGUGUUAUCCUGCUGGGCCACAGUGCCAGCCCAUCCUUCAAUUUUUCAAUUCUUCCAUCUUUGAAGUUAAGGUUGAAUUGCAUAGUGUGAAAGCCCUAGAAGUCAAUUCUAUUGAAUGAGAUAAAUUAUCAAAUUGUUUAGUUCUGGUCAGGGUCAAAAUAAUGCGUAACUAUAAAGUGAUAAGUUUACUGCAUAGCUCAUAAACUAUCUUUGGAGAAACUAUGUGAAAGGAAUUUAAAAAAUGCUUUGAGUGUCUGACAGAAUAAGUGUUUUAAUAAAUGAAACAAUGUGUUUCAAUAAAUGGAUAAUCUGAACAUCACUAUCUACAGUCUCCCAAGAUGGCUGCUUUGAAGUCAAGAAUAUUACUUUGAACCCUGCCUGCUUUUUUUUUUAAUAGUCACAUUAGCUUGUAAACACAUCCCAAGCCCUGC